rnacentral:rRNA from 1 species
UGAUGCAGCCAUGCCGCGUGUGUGAAGAAGGCCUUCGGGUUGUAAAGCACUUUCAGUUGUGAGGAAAAGUUAGUAGUUAAUACCUGCUAGCCGUGACGUUAACAACAGAAGAAGCACCGGCUAACUCCGUGCCAGCAGCCGCGGUAAUACGGAGGGUGCGAGCGUUAAUCGGAAUUACUGGGCGUAAAGCGCACGCAGGCGGUUUGUUAAGCUAGAUGUGAAAGCCCCGGGCUCAACCUGGGAUGGUCAUUUAGAACUGGCAGACUAGAGUCUUGGAGAGGGGAGUGGAAUUCCAGGUGUAGCGGUGAAAUGCGUAGAUAUCUGGAGGAACAUCUGUGGCGAAGGCGACUCCCUGGCCAAAGACUGACGCUCAUGUGCGAAAGUGUGGGUAGCGAACAGGAUUAGAUACCCUGGUAGUCCACACCGUAAACGCUGUCUACUAGCUGUUUGUGACUUUAAGUCCUGAGUAGCGAAGCUAACGCGCUAAGUAGACCGCCUGGGGAGUACGGCCGCAAGGUUAAAACUCAAAUGAAUUGACGGGGGCCCGCACAAGCGGUGGAGCAUGUGGUUUAAUUCGAUGCAACGCGAAGAACCUUACCUACACUUGACAUGCAGAGAACUUUCCAGAGAUGGAUUGGUGCCUUCGGGAACUCUGACACAGGUGCUGCAUGGCUGUCGUCAGCUCGUGUCGUGAGAUGUUGGGUUAAGUCCCGCAACGAGCGCAACCCUUGUCCUUAGUUGCCAGCAUUCAGUUGGGCACUCUAAGGAGACUGCCGGUGACAAACCGGAGGAAGGUGGGGA